rnacentral:rRNA from 1 species
GACGAACGCUGGCGGCGUGCUUAACACAUGCAAGUCGAACGAAGUGGCGAGCGGGUGAGUAAUACGUGGGUAGCCUGCCCUCCUUUUUUGGAUAAGCCUUGGAAACGGGAUCUAGUAACGAAUAAAGGGGGAUGGGCUCGGGGCUUAUCAGCUUGUUGGUGGGGUGAUGGCCUACCAAGGCGGUGAAGGGUAGACGGCCUGCGAGGGUAACCGGCCACAGUGGGACUGAGGUACGGCCCAGACUCCUACGGGAGGCAGCAGUGGGGGAUAUUGCACAAUGGGCGAAAGCCUGAUGCAGCGACGCCGCGUGGGGGAUGAAGGCUUUCGGGUUGUAAACCUCUUUCGCUAGCGAACCGGUAGGUGGAGAAGAAGCGCCGGCUAACUACGUGCCAGCAGCCGCGGUAAUUC